UAAUACGUAAGUGGCGAGCGUUAUCCGGAAUUACUGGGCGUAAAGCGUGCGUAGGCGGUUUAGUGUGUGGGAAUUGAAAGCCCGGGGCUCAACUCCGGAUCCGGUUCCCAAACUGCUAGACUCGAGCGUAUCAGAGGACAGUGGAAUUCCCGGUGUAGCGGUAAUAUGCGUAGAUAUCGGGAGGAACACCAGUGGCGAAGGCGACUGUCUGGGGUAUUGCUGACGCUGAGGCACGAAAGCCAGGGGAGCGAACGGGAUUAGAUACCCCGGUAGUCCUGGCCUUAAACGAUGAUCACUAGGUGUAGGAGGCUUCGACCCCUUCUGCGCCGCCGCUAACGCAUUAAGUGAUCCGCCUGGGGAGUACGGCCGCAAGGUUA
rnacentral:rRNA from 1 species